ensembl:snRNA U4 U4 spliceosomal RNA
AGCUUUGCACCGUGGCAGUGUCAUAGCCAAUGAGGUUUAUCCAAGGCAUGAUUAUUGCUAAUUGAAACCUUUUCCCAAUACCCCACCGUGACAACUUGCAAUAUAGUCAGCACUGGCAAUUUUUGACAGUCCCUAUGGAGA